ensembl:ncRNA lncRNA:CR43632 long non-coding RNA:CR43632
ACACUUUUUGACAUUUUCGAGUCGAAACUAACAAACUAUAAAAUUCCAACUGAAUAUCUGUCAACGAAACGAAUGCAUGUCCACAAGGCGAUGAAAAUCAAUUUGCAAUGCAGCGUACCAGCAAAAAAGCCGAUGGCAAAAGGAAAAAUAUCCAGAGACACAUGCCAAGGCGCACAGCCUUUGCAUCUGAAUCUGAAUCUGCCUCUGCAUCUGCAUCUGCAUCUGCAUCUGAAUCUGAAUCGGAUGGAAUCAAGGAGCAGGAAUCAGCGAGCAGAAGGAAUGCCAAGCAAUGCAAAUAGCUCUAAAUGCAUUUGACGAUGCUGUGAUUUGAUUUCGAUAUCCACCCAUCCUCGCUGUGUGUGGAUGUGGGUGUCUAUGUAGACUUUCCAUUUCUGUUCGCGAGCGUAAGUUUUUGCUCCGGGUUUUCGCCAGUUUUCCCAAAGCCAACCUGAUUAUAAUUCGAACGCAUCGACUUCUGGCAUUGGCAAAAAUGUCAUUCGAAAGUUGGAAAACUCGAAUCUGCUGCCUGCCUGCCAGCAUCCGCUUCCGUUUAAUCAUUUUGCUCGCUGUUGUUAUGCCGUUGGCCUGAUUGCCGUCGUUCACUUAGCUGAUUGCAGUAGCUAUCAAAAAUUCGCUGCGACAACGUGUCGUAUGCGUGAUAUUAUGCCAGGUCGUGCUCAUUCGCACUUGUCUCACUAGCAUCU